UACGUAGGGUGCAAGCGUUAAUCGGAAUUACUGGGCGUAAAGCGUGCGCAGGCGGUGAUGUAAGACAGUUGUGAAAUCCCCGGGCUCAACCUGGGAACUGCAUUUGUGACUGCAUGGCUAGAGUACGGUAGAGGGGGAUGGAAUUCCGCGUGUAGCAGUGAAAUGCGUAGAUAUGCGGAGGAACACCGAUGGCGAAGGCAAUCCCCUGGACCUGUACUGACGCUCAUGCACGAAAGCGUGGGGAGCAAACAGG
rnacentral:rRNA from 1 species